GACGAACGCUGGCGGCGUGCCUAACACAUGCAAGUCGAACGAAGCUCUGCGAUACAAGACUUCGGUCAAGUUGAACGGAUGACUUAGUGGCGGACGGGUGAGUAACGCGUGAGGAACCUGCCUUUCAGUGGGGGACAACAGUUGGAAACGACUGCUAAUACCGCAUAAUGUAUUCUGACCGCAUGAUCGGAAUACCAAAGAUUUAUUGCUGAAAGAUGGCCUCGCGUCUGAUUAGAUAGUUGGUGAGGUAACGGCUCACCAAGUCGACGAUCAGUAGCCGGACUGAGAGGUUGAACGGCCACAUUGGGACUGAGAUACGGCCCAGACUCCUACGGGAGGCAGCAGUGGGGAAUAUUGGGCAAUGGGGGAAACCCUGACCCAGCAACGCCGCGUGAAGGAAGAAGGCUUUCGGGUUGUAAACUUCUUUACCUAGGGACGAAGGACGUGACGGUACCUGGAGAAAAAGACCACGGCUAACUACGUG
rnacentral:rRNA from 1 species